CUACCUUUCUCAGUCUUUUUGCUAAGAUCUAAGUGUAGUAUUUGUUCUUAUCAGUUUAAUAUCUGACUAGCAUAAUGCCAGUGCGUUACAACGGGUAAAAUGUUUUUAUUGCUAUAUAUUAUACUCAUU
rnacentral:snRNA from 1 species